GGCCCGAGCGCUGCUAACUGCAGUCGAAGCGGAAGCCCAAAUUGCUGGGGUGGAUGAGUGGCGAACGGGUGAGUAACACGUGAGUAACCUUCCCUUGACUCUGGGAUAAGCCUGGGAAACCGGGUCUAAUACCGGAUGCGACCCUCUACCGCAUGGUGGGGGGUGGAAAGAUUUAUCGGUCUUGGAUGGACUCGCGGCCUAUCAGCUUGUUGGUGGGGUAAUGGCCCACCAAGGCGACGACGGGUAGCCGGCCUGAGAGGGUGACCGGCCACACUGGGACUGAGACACGGCCCAGACUCCUACGGGAGGCAGCAGUGGGGAAUAUUGCACAAUGGGCGCAAGCCUGAUGCAGCGACGCCGCGUGAGGGAUGACGGCCUUCGGGUUGUAAACCUCUUUCAGUAGGGAAGAAGCGAAAGUGACGGUACCUGCAGAAGAAGCGCCGGCUAACUACGUGCCAGCAGCCGCGGUAAUACGUAGGGCGCGAGCGUUAUCCGGAAUUAUUGGGCGUAAAGAGCUCGUAGGCGGUUUGUCGCGUCUGCCGUGAAAGUCCGGGGCUUAACCCCGGAUCUGCGGUGGGUACGGGCAGACUGGAGUGCAGUAGGGGAGACUGGAAUUCCUGGUGUAGCGGUGAAAUGCGCAGAUAUCAGGAGGAACACCGAUGGCGAAGGCAGGUCUCUGGGCUGUUACUGACGCUGAGGAGCGAAAGCAUGGGGAGCGAACAGGAUUAGAUACCCUGGGAGUCCAUGCCGUAAACGUUGGGCACUAGGUGUGGGGGCCAUUCCACGGUUUCCGCCGCGCAACUAACGCAUUAAGUGCCCCCCCUGGGGGAGUACCGGCCCCAGG
rnacentral:rRNA from 1 species